CAUUGUCGAAUCACAUGUACUUUAUUAUUGCGCAUAAAAUAGUACGCUUACAGACUGACAGAAAGAUCGAUACGUUACUCCGUUCAAUUCAUCACGGUAUACUAUUCUAUUGAUAAUAUAAUAUAAUACAUCGCUGUAACAAUCGAAAAGUAUAAAUAAUUCUUUUAAACGGAGUUUUUAAUAACGAAAGUGAAAACAACGGAAGUUGGAUGGAUAUUCUGUGAGAUGCACUUCGGCUCCAGAAAACAAUACAAAUUAACUAAAAAAGACGUGUGGGGGACAAUUUUCAGAUGGAAAAUAUUUGAAAUAGGGAAACAACCGUGGUUUUACUGUGUCAGAUGGCCUUGCUAGGGAGGUUUGUGGGUGAAAGUGGCAGUGCUGAUUUACAACUGGCCAGCCUGCGCAGCUUGAUGGCCACCCCCGGCUCCUUUAUGCUAGAUAGUCACACAGGAACCAGCCUUCUGGCAGAUAUCAUUGCAAAGAAGCUGUUCUGCGAAGCCGAAGGCAAGAGCUGAGCAUCAUACAAGCCAUUCUAUCCAGCAAAACUGACAGUUUUGGUUUACAGAAAUCAACAAAGGAGGGAUUCCUGAUCUAUCAAAUUUCCAAGCUAUACACACAGUUAUUAUCUGUGGUGAUCUUUAUUGGUUCUGCUUGUUUACUUGGAUGGAACAUGUGUGAACUUUUAUAGAACUUUGAAAAGUCUAUAUAUGUCUAUCUAUAAACAAAAAUCAGCUAUUGUAUAAUAAGAUCAGAUGUGCAAACAAUGUCAAAGGGUUGUUAAAUUAACAAUUUGAAGGCAAUUAUGCUGAAAAAAAAUGGAAGUUCCCAUGCAAAUUUUGUCUGUAUAUCGACAAGUGUCUGCCGAUAAUUGUCAAACUAGUAAUACAAAACUUACCACAAGUAUGUAAAAGCACUAAGUACCUGUGAUCAUUUUUAGUAAGAUAGUGUAAUUCUAAACAGUAGCAAAUAGCUUGUUUAGUAAAUGCAUAAUGUAAUUAAUAUGAUUUCCGUUCUAUUGUGUAAUUAAUAAAUUGGUUGUUACUUGUUAAUCCAUGAUAAAUGUUUUAUGGCUAGUACAAAACCAGCAAUGUUAAUUUUGUAAAAGGUAAUACAAUAACACCACUUAGUAAUUUCAUAUACGUAAAUAUUCUUGAAAUGUAGGUUGAUGAUUGUGUUUUAGUUUUACUUAUUUUGUAACUAUUUUUUAUGUGCAAAUAAAUGAUGUGAAGUGUUUUGUAUCUCCACACAAUACCACAUACCUUUUUAUAUAUGUACUGUGUUAUGUGUUAUUUGAAUGUUUAAAUAAAAAAAAAAUGGAUGAUAUAACAUGAUGCAUUCUAAUAUUUGCAUUCAUAUUGUAACUAUAGAGCUAAGUGUAUGCAGUUUAGACUGUGAUUUUAGAAUUGCUACAAAAUGGCUAGUUUUUUAGUGGCGACAAAAUUUAAACUAUUCAACAAUAGUUUGCGAAAGAAAAUUAGAAACCUGCAAGAUACCUGUAUUUAUUAAAUAUUUUAAUUGCGAAUCAAGUAUGUUGUUAUGCUGUUACACAUAAUUAUACAUUGAUAAUAAAUAAGAAGACAAUUAGUGGUGUUAACGUUUCCCAACAGUAGAAAUCAUUCUUCUGAUGAAGUCAGUGAUAUACAGACGAAAGCUCCAGGUAUGGCUUUCAAUACGUAGUGUGUGUUAUUUGACAGUCUAAAACUUAUUGGAUUAAACAAAAAUCCUGUCAAAUUUGUCAAUCAAAAUUGAUUUGACACAUCACAUGAUUUUGAUUAUGUUAAAUCAG